rnacentral:rRNA from 1 species
UACGGGGGGGGCAAGCGUUGUUCGGAAUUACUGGGCGUAAAGGGCUCGUAGGCGGCCAACUAAGUCCGACGUGAAAUCCCAAGGCUUAACCUUGGAACUGCGUCGGAUACUGGAUGGCUUGAAUUCGGGAGAGGGAUGCAGAAUUCCAGGUGUAGCGGUGAAAUGCGUAGAUAUCUGGAGGAACACCCGUAGCGAAGGCGGCCACCUGGGCCGGCCCUGACGCUGAGGCGCGAAGGCCAGGGGAGCGAAACGGGGAU